AGUGUAAGUCGAGUUUCUAAAGGUUGCCAGUGACAUGAAUUACUAUGAAACUGAGAGUCUGCAGUGACAAGAAGGGGCUUGGAGUCUUCAGCAGAUGGUUGAAAAUGAAAUGCACUUUGGGGGAAACAGAAGCUCUGCCAAAUCUGGACCUUGAACAGAACUAGUCAAAUAAACAGAAGUGAGACACAGCA